rnacentral:rRNA from 1 species
UACGGAGGGUGCAAGCGUUAUCCGGAUUCACUGGGUUUAAAGGGUGCGUAGGAGGGCAGGGAAGUCCGUGGUGAAAUCCUAGAGCUUAACUCUAGAACUGCCGUGGAUACUCUCUGUCUUGAAUCCCGUGGAGAUGAGCGGAAUAUGUCAUGUAGCGGUGAAAUGCUUAGAUAUGACAUAGAACACCCAAUUGCGAAGGCAGCUCACUACACGGUCAUUGACACUGAGGCACGAAAGCGUGGGGAUCAAACAGG